UGCUAUUUCGGUGAGGUUUUUGCCAUAAUUUAAGUCGUGCUUGUCGGGGUUAGUUUUGUCAACAGUAACUUUACAUACCUACCAUUUUUUUCCCUUUUCUUCAGACGUGAAUAGGUGCCCGUCGCAAUGGACCUGAACUCAACACUUGCAGGGUUACACUUUACACUGGAUACCAUGAAUUUCUACUUCAAUGGAAGUGACUUUUACAAGGGCGGUGGUCUGGAACGUGGGAAUUUUAGAAUCCAAAGUUUUGACACCUCCAACGAAGAACUGGAUGUCGAGUGUGUGUACUUCUCUGAUGAACAAGUUGAAUAUACCGACGAAGCCGACAUUACCGAAGAGAUCUACCUUGCAAGAGUAAAGGCGGCAAGCUUCGCCAUUAAAUCUGGCUUUACAUUCGCCCUCCUCCUGCUACUCUUCCUUGGAUUCGUUGCAAUAGGAUUAAGGAUUUCUGGUUACUUGUGUGCCCACCUUGUAUUGGGCUGUAAGCGGUGCGUGACUCGCAACUGUGGUUAUUUGCAAACUGCCCGAAAAAUUCCUACUGCACCACCACUGCCACCGCCUCGUUCCCUUCCUGCCGCCUCCAUUGGCACAACAAUCCGGUACAGGACUGUGGAAAAUCCAUUAAUAAGGCGAAGGGCGAAAACGGUGAAGGACUAGCCCGAGGCAGGAAGAGGUGAAUUUCCUUCAAAGUCUUCGUUCUCCACCUGGACGAAUCGCCGAACUAAGACAAGCUCCGCAAAUUGGAAUGAAUGAAUCUUCUCACUCGCCUUAGCUCGGGAUAAACUGUCCUCUUGGCCACUUUACUCGCCGUAGCAAACCACUGGUCGUCAGAAUGAUCUCGGUCGAGCACGUCUCCGAAAGGUGCACGACCGGAGACGUGCUCGACAGUGUCCUGCCGCGUCCCGCCUCGCUCCUCGGCCGGUCCAGGAAUGACGUGGGACUCGCGGGUGACAGACAAUGCAAUAAAAAAUGCUAAAUCACCAAAAACUAAAUCACCAAAAACUGCUUUGCGCCUGCUUUGCGCCUUCCUUGGAGUAAGCAGCACUUUGUAGUUAAGUCCUAGUUUGUCAAAAUCCUUAUUAAAGGCUGUUGGCUUUUUCUCGCAUGCUUCCUAGCAAUGUAUUAUAAAUGGUAGACUUCUGUGUAUAUUUUUUAAGUAGACUUCUGUGCAUGUCAAAAUCCUUAUUAAAGGCUGUUGGCUUUUUCUCGCAUGCUUUCUAGCAAUGUAUUAUAAAUGGUAGACUUCUGUGUAUAUUUUUUAAGUAGACUUCUGUGCAUAUUUUUUAAGUAGACUUCUGUGCAUAUUUUUUAACUAAUUUUAAUGUAGGGUAAUGUGAUUAUUUUUGUCUAUACGAAAGUUCUGUGGUUACUAUUUUAGGCAAUCAUGCUUCACAAAUUUUGUAAUCGGGCUGAACGUGAGUCCCGCGAGCGGCGUGUGAGCCAGCCACGCACUCGGGGCCCUCGUUCACGUCCUCGGCGCGUAUCAGUGUUCCUAAUAGCAUCUUAGUAAAGUGACCAACAGAAA